UACAGAGGUCUCAAGCGUUGUUCGGAUUCAUUGGGCGUAAAGGGUGUGUAGGUGGCGCGCUAAGUCGGGUGUGAAAUCUCGGGGCUUAACUCCGAAACUGCAUUCGAUACUGCCGUGCUUGAGGACUGGAGAGGAGACUGGAAUUUACGGUGUAGCGGUGAAAUGCGUAGAUAUCAGGAAGAACACCCGUGGCGAAGGCGGCUCUCUGGGACGGUACUGACGCUGAGACGCGAAAGCGUGGGGAGCGAACAGG
rnacentral:rRNA from 1 species